UGAGGAAUAUUGGGCAAUGCCCGCAAGGGUGACCCAGCAACGCCGCGUGGAGGAUGAAUGUCGGAAGAUUGUAAACUCCUGUUAGAGGGGAAGAAUAGUACCGGUUGGACCGGUAUAUGACUGUACCCUCAGAGAAAGCCCCGGCUAACUACGUGCCAGCAGCCGCGGUAAUCCGUAGGGGGCAAGCGUUGUCCGGAUUUACUGGGUGUAAAGGGCGCGCAGGCGGGAUAAAAAGUCAGUGGUGAAAUCCUACAGCUUAACUGUAGAACUGACUUUUUUUCGUUUAGUCUUGAGUUCGGGAGAGGGAGACGGAAUGCCAGGUGUAGUGGUGAAAUACGUAGAUAUCUGGAAGAACACCAGUUGCGAAGGCGAUCUCUUGGUCCGACACUGACGCUGAGGCGCGAAAGCGUGGGGAGCAA
rnacentral:rRNA from 1 species